rnacentral:snRNA from 1 species
GGAUAUGAGGGCAAUCUGGUUACAACAUCUGUCAGCGCACUGAUGACCAAAAUGGAUUUAGCUACUCUGGCUGGCUAUGUCGCUGUCCCUUCCUAACUCACUGCUUUGUGUGUGUGCCUCCAGGAGUUUUAUACUGGGUUAAAAAGGAAAUCCUCUUCUGGAAGGGAAAUGGAGAUCAAAUAGUUGCAUUAGAAUGAGUGCUUAUUAUUAAAAUCAUAAAUAUUUGAGUAUUUACUUAAGCUUCCAGACACUUUUGAAGGCUUAGAAAACUGAUUUAAAACAUUUU